GUAUUUUCCCUGGGUAGCUUCUUAACUUUUUAGGGCACAGCAGCAAAUGCGUGAUGCCGACCUCGCUUCCUAGCUGCCUGCUGUUGUUCCCUGCUGGCUGGUAACGUAUCAGAGUAACGUGUUUUAUUUUUCAGGUAGGGAAAUCCUGUGGAGCAGGUGCUUAAAUGUUGCUUUAAGUCGUUAAAAGUUAGCAGCACGCGCCGAGCCUAGAACACCAAACCAAAAGACAAGCCUGGAGCUCUCCUCCUCUACGUGGAGCCCCGUAAGGAAAUCUGUCAGAAGCGGGGGAGAUGCUGUGGGUGCUACCCGCGCAGCCAGGCAGAUUACCUUCUGGCCAGCGUUCAAG
rnacentral:lncRNA from 1 species